rnacentral:tRNA from 1 species
GGCUAAUUAGUUUAACCUUUAAAACAAGUGUUUUGAAAACACUAAAUAAGAAAAAAUACUCUUACUAGCCG